rnacentral:lncRNA from 1 species
CACUUUCUAUUCUUCAAGAUUCCACGUUACAAAAAGGGGGGAACGACGUGCAGUGGUGCACGCCGUGCUUGUUUUGAGGCCGAGCUCCUUGACAUAUUCACGUCCCUCUGCUGCGCCAUUUUCUUUCUCGACAUCCCAUUCGAACUCCAAUCGUUCUCCACACCAUGUCCUUAGCUUCAUAGUCAGAUCACCUAUCUACAUAGUAC